GAUGAAGAACGCAGCGAAAUGCGAUAAGUAAUGUGAAUUGCAGAAUUCAGUGAAUCAUCGAAUCUUUGAACGCACCUUGCGCUCCUUCGUAUUCCGAGGAGCAUGCCUGUUUGAGUGUCAUUAAUAUAUCAACCUUCUCUUUUUUGAGUUGUUUGGAUGUGGGGGUUUGCUGGCCUCUUAAAUGAUUCAGCUCCCCUGAAAUGCAUUAGCAGAACAACCUGUUCAUUAGCGUGAUAAUUAUCUAUGCUAUUGAAUGUGAGGGCAGUUCAGCUUUCUAACCGUCCUUGGACAAUUCAUCAUUAAUGUGACCUCAAAUCAGGUAGGACUACCCGCUGAACUUAAGCAUAUCAAUAAGCGGAGGA
rnacentral:misc_RNA from 1 species